rnacentral:rRNA from 1 species
CCUACGGGUGGCUGCAGUCGAGAAUCAUUCACAAUGGGGGAAACCCUGAUGGUGCGACGCCGCGUGGGGGAAUGAAGGUCUUCGGAUUGUAAACCCCUGUCAUGUGGGAGCAAAUUAAAAAGAUAGUACCACAAGAGGAAGAGACGGCUAACGCUGUGCCAGCAGCCGCGGUAAUACAGAGGUCUCAAGCGUUGUUCGGAAUCACUGGGCGUAAAGCGUGCGUAGGCUGUUUCGUAAGUCGUGGGUGAAAGGCGCGGGCUCAACCCGCGGACGGCACAUGAUACUGCGAGACUAGAGUAAGGGAGGGGGAACCGGAAUUCUCGGUGUAGCAGUGAACUGCGUAGAUAUCGAGAGGAACACUCGUGGCGAAGGCGGGUUCCUGGACAUUAACUGACGCUGAGGCACGAAGGCCAGGGGAGCGAAAGGGAUUAGAUACCCGGGUAGUC